CCAGUGGCGAAGGCGACUCACUGGACAGUUAUUUGACGCUGAGGUGCGAAAAGCGUGGGGGAGCAAACAGGAUUAGAUACCCUGGUAGUCCACGCCGUAAACGAUGAUAACUAGCUGUCCGGGCUCAUGGAGCUUGGGUGGCGCAGCUUAACGCAUUAAGUUAUCCCGCCUGGGGAGUACGGUCGCAAGAUUAAAACUCAAAGGAAUUGACGGGGGCCCUGCACAAGCGGUGGAGCAUGUGGUUUAAUUUGAAGCAACGCGCAGAACCUUACCAGCCUUUGACAUCCUAGGACGACUUCUGGAGACAGAUUUCUUCCCUUCGGGGACCUAGUGACAGGUGCUGCAUGGCUGUCGUCAGCUCGUGUCGUGAGAUGUUGGGUUAAGUCCCGCAACGAGCGCAACCCUCGUCCUUAGUUGCCAUCAUUUAGUUGGGCACUUUAAGGAAACUGCCGGUGAUAAGCCGGAGGAAGGUGGGGAUGACGUCAAGUCCUCAUGGCCCUUACAGGCUGGGCUACACACGUGCUACAAUGGCAUCUACAGUGAGCAGCGAUCCCGCGAGGGUUAGCUAAUCUCCAAAAGAUGUCUCAGUUCGGAUUGUUCUCUGCAACUCGAGAGCAUGAAGGCGGAAUCGCUAGUAAUCGCGGAUCAGCAUGCCGCGGUGAAUACGUUCCCAGGCCUUGUACACACCGCC
rnacentral:rRNA from 1 species